AUGGCAGUCUGUGGCUUAUAAGUGCUCUUCACAUACCGUCAACACUAAGCAAGUGUUAGCCUUUAGGAUAUUUGCAAGGAGAUCAAUGUAUCCAAAAGAAGAAACUGAAGUUAGGAAAAACUAACAGCAAUCAAGUUAAGAACAAGAGAGUAGAGCAAAAAAAGAGCGAAGUUGAAAGGAAUCUUUUGAGUUGCAGAUAUUUAUGCGAUAUAGGAAAUUGAAUAGUCUUUCAGAAAUGGAGAAGAUGUCUAUAACAAAAAUUACAUUUAUAAUAUUUACCAUUCUAUUCUGUAUCUCUGAAUGUUAUUCAUCAAAUUGCAAUACACUUGAUAAACAAAUACAUGAUUAUGUGGCAAAACUAGAGCCUUUUUACGAAAAAAUAAAGUCACAUCAGACAUUGUCCGCUAAUGAAGCAAAAGUUGCAAUUGAAAUAGUGAAAAAUUACUAUAAUUAUCUGGUUGAUCACAACAUAGUUUACGCAAAACUCGCAAGGGAUGUAGUAAAUAAUCAUGGACUAUUUGGAAUAACAGCAAAUGUUCACCUUGAAUACACAGCCAAAGCCGAAGGACAUGCCAAUGACAUAAAGAAGCUUCGGAUUAAUAUACCGGUAUCUUUGGCUUAUAAGGAUGCAAAAUUGAGAUCAGAAUGUAAAGUUGUAUCGUACAGAGCAAUAGCAGAUUAUCAUUACGAAACGUUUCAGCAGCAAGGUUUAUCUAAAUAUGCUUGGGGGGGAACUUUAUUAGAAGAAUUUGCAGGCAGCGGCUCUUAUAUGCGCCUUGGUGGAUACGACAAGACGAUUCCUUUUUCACCAAUCAAAUUGACACAGGCAAUCGCAACCAAUAAAGAGGCAAAUGGCGUCAAGGCUCGAGUGGCUCUCAAUUCACUUAAACAUCUUCUUUUAGUGGAUUCAGGAAAAAUAUUACGUACUACUGUUUGUGAAAACUGGCCAGUUUUGUGCAAUCCAGAAACCUUAUAAACCGAGAAAAGCUAUUUUUUGUCUUUAACCGGGAAUAUCAAACUUUGGAGGAUGUAAUAAGCAAAUACUAGUAUACACACAAUAAAAAUCCUAAAAUAUGAGCAUAAGAAUAAUCAAAUACAAAAAUUACAUCAUUUUAAGCAAAGAUAUUCUGACGUAAGGUUGGAUUUCCUCGGUAUUUAAAUCAAAAAUUACUGUAUUUACAAAAAAUGCCAUUUUGGAAUUGUUGUCUUUGAAAUAACAUGUUGAAACAUCUUAUUUUUUUGCGAAAUAGCAGUACCUCUCGUUAUACCAUUAGUUUGAAGAAAUAAGUAUUGGAACUUGUAUGCUGAUAAAAAAAAUAACCUUUUCGACAAUACAUAAUAACUCAUGUAAUUUAUUGUAAAAAUUAGAUAAAUUUUAGUAGUGUUAUACCGUUAUUGCAGGAUUAUAUAAACAUACAAUAGAA